rnacentral:lncRNA from 1 species
CUAUAAUUUACUUUUGUGGCACAUUUUGUAAGUCCUUCACUUUGUAAAUAAGGCAUGUGAGAUCAGAGAGGUGAAAUGAGUGUCUCAAGUCAGCAACAGAACUUAUACAGACAGCCCCUGACUUAAGAUGUUUCUACUUAUGAUAUUUUUGACUUUAUCAUGGUGCAAAAGUAAUACACAUUCAGCUGAAACUGUACUUCAAAUUUUGAAUUUUGAUCUUUUCCUGGGCUAGUGAUGCAGCUGUCUCAAGCCAUAGCUCCCAGUCAGCCACGAAAUCAUCAGGCCAAACAACAGAUAUUCUACAAUGUAUAAAAUGCAUUUUUGGGCCGGGCGUGGUGGCUCACACCUGUAAUCCCAACAUUUUGGAGACCAUCCUGGGCAACUUGGUGAAGCCCCGUCUCUACUAAAAAAAACACACACACAAAAAGCAUCUGUACUAGAAAUAAUGCCUUCUGUGGAUUGAAGUGAACAAUAAUUUAUUCUAUAUUUCAAAAUAGCUAGAAGAGAAGAUAUGAAAUGGUCCCAACACACAAAAAAAGAUAAAUGUUUGAGUUGAU